rnacentral:rRNA from 1 species
CUGAGGACGAUCCCGGAUAAGCCGACGGAUGCUGGAAUGCUUCCUCGCUUAAAGCUCCGGCGCUCGAGGAUGGGACUGCGGCCUAUCAGGUAGUUGGUGGUGUGACGGACCACCAAGCAUAAGACGGGUACGGCCGAUGAGAGUCGGAGCCCGGAGAUGGGGACUGAGACAAGGCCCCAGGCCCUACGGGGCGCAGCAGGCGCGAAAACUCCGCAAUGCGCGAAAGCGUGACGGGGGGAUCCCAAGUGCCGCUGUACUUUGUACGGCGGCUUUUAGGGAGCUUAAGGAGCUCCCUGAAUAAGGGGCUGGGUAAGCCUGGUGCCAGCAGCCGCGGUAA